UUGUAUUCCAAAUGUGAUAUUCAUAAGGUCUAUCUCCUGUAUGUGUUCUCUUAUCAACAGCUAAGUAGUCUGAAUGCAAAAAUCGAUAUCUUUUGUUGCAAACAUCACAUUCACACGGUUUCUCUCGAGUGUGUGUUCUUUUAUGGGAAGCUAAGUUGCCAGAUUGUGAAAAUCUCCUCUUACAAACAUCGCAUUCAUAAGGUUUGUCUCCGGUAGGUGUUCUUUUGUGUUUAGCAAAACUACUUUGAUGAGAAAAUCUUUUGUUGCAAACAUCACAUUCAUAAGAUUUUUCUCCAGUGUGUGUUCUUUUAUGAAUCGCUAAGUGGCCUGAUCGAGAAAAACGUUUGUUGCAAACAUCACGUUCAUAAGGUUUGUCACCAGUAUGUGUUCUUUCAUGUCUAGCUAAGUCGUCUGACCGCGAAAAUCUUUUGUUGCAAACAUCACAUUCAUAAGGUUUUUCUCCAGUGUGUGUUCUCUUAUGAAUCGCUAAGUGGCCUGAUCGAGAAAAACGUUUGUUGCAAACAUCACAUUCAUAAGGUUUGUCACCAGUAUUUGUUCUUUCAUGUCUAGCUAAGUCGUCUGACCGCGAAAAUCUUUUGUUGCAAACAUCACAUUCAUAAGGUUUCUCUCCAGUAUGUGUUCGUUUGUGUGCCACCAAAUUUUCUUUCGUAGAAAAUACCUUGUUACAAACAUCGCAUUUCCUAGACAUAGUUUCAGCUUUUUAUCUUUUCCCCGUACGGUCAAAUAUCGAUAAAAAUAUCACCCAACUGUUCCCUCGAGUCGUUCUUUCUUGAAUCUUUAUAAUACUUCGGUUCUUACACAAUUUCUGAUCAUAAAAAUGAGAAUAUUCAGAGACACAGUUUGCAAACAGCACAUAUAUCAAA